rnacentral:rRNA from 1 species
CCCACCCUUUGUAUACCUACCUCUGUUGCUUUGGCGGGCCGCGGUCUUCCGCGGCCGCCCCCCGAUUUUGGGGGGUGGCUAGUGCCCGCCAGAGGACUAUCAAACUCCAGUCAGUAAACGUUGCAGUCUGAAAAAAAUAUUAAAUAAACUAAAACUUUCAACAACGGAUCUCUUGGUUCUGGCAUCGAUGAAGAACGCAGCGAAAUGCGAUAAGUAAUGUGAAUUGCAGAAUUCAGUGAAUCAUCGAAUCUUUGAACGCACAUUGCGCCCCUUGGUAUUCCGGGGGGCAUGCCUGUUCGAGCGUCAUUUCAACCCUCAAGCUCUGCUUGGUAUUGGGCACCGUCCUUUGCGGGCGCGCCUCAAAGACCUCGGCGGUGGCGUCUUGCCUCAAGCGUAGUAGAAUACACCUCGCUUCGGAGCGUAAGGCGUCGCCCGCCGGACGAACCUUCUGAACUUUUCU